AUUGAACGCUGGCGGCAUGCCUUACACAUGCAAGUCGAACGGUAACGGGCCUUCGGGUGCCGACGAGUGGCGAACGGGUGAGUAAUGUAUCGGAACGUACCUUUCAGUGGGGGAUAACGUAGCGAAAGUUACGCUAAUACCGCAUAUUCUGUGAGCAGGAAAGCAGGGGAUCGCAAGACCUUGCGCUGAUUGAGCGGCCGAUAUCAGAUUAGCUAGUUGGUGAGGUAAAGGCUCACCAAGGCGACGAUCUGUAGCGGGUCUGAGAGGAUGAUCCGCCACACUGGAACUGAGACACGGUCCAGACUCCUACGGGAGGCAGCAGCAGGGAAUCUUGGGCAAUGGGCGAAAGCCUGACCCAGCGACGCCGCGUGGAGGAAGAAGUCCUUCGGGGCGUAAACUCCUGGACUGGGGGACGAGGAAGGACGGUACCCCAGUAGAAAGGGACGGCUAACUACGUGCCAACAGCCGCGGUAAUGAGUAGUACA
rnacentral:rRNA from 1 species